UAGGGAAUAUUGGACAAUGGGGGCAACCCUGAUCCAGCCAUGCCGCGUGAGUGAAGAAGGCCCUCGGGUUGUAAAGCUCUUUUGUCCGGAAAGAAAAGCAUUCGGUGAAUACCCGGAUGUUCUGACGGUACCGGAAGAAUAAGCACCGGCUAACUUCGUGCCAGCAGCCGCGGUAAUACGAAGGGUGCAAGCGUUACUCGGAAUUACUGGGCGUAAAGCGUGCGUAGGUGGUUGUUUAAGUCUGAUGUGAAAGCCCUGGGCUCAACCUGGGAAUGGCAUUGGAAACUGGGCAGCUAGAGUGCGGUAGAGGGUAGUGGAAUUCCCGGUGUAGCAGUGAAAUGCGUAGAGAUCGGGAGGAACAUCUGUGGCGAAGGCGACUGCCUGGACCAGCACUGACACUGAGGCACGAAAGCGUGGGGAG
rnacentral:rRNA from 1 species